CAGCACGGCACGGCACGGCUCGGACCCACGGCGAGAGGCGCGCGCGCUACGCGACGCCACUGUCCGUCGCGUACCCUACCCUGCCCUGACCUGAACCGAGGACCUCCGCUUGCAAAUUCUGCUGAACGGCUGCACUGCGUGUCGAAGAAUUCUGCAUAACGCUGUCGCACGCCAUUUGCCGACACCACGGAGGGACGAGAUGACACGAGAGCUGCAAGACUGCAUUCUUCAUCUCCGGCGAUGAACAG